GGAUACGGCCAUACUGCGGAGAAAGCACCGCUUCCCGUCCGAUCAGCGAAGUUAAGCUCCGCCAGGCGAUGUUAGUACUGGGGUGGGUGACCACCCGGGAAUCCAUUGUGCUGUAUCCUUUU
rnacentral:rRNA from 1 species